rnacentral:rRNA from 1 species
UACAGAGGUGGCAAGCGUUGUUCGGAAUUACUGGGCGUAAAGGGCGCGUAGGCGGCCUUCUAAGUCAGACGUGAAAUCCCCCGGCUUAACCUGGGAACUGCGUCUGAUACUGGGAGGCUUGAGUAUGGGAGAGGGAUGUAGAAUUCCAGGUGUAGCGGUGAAAUGCGUAGAUAUCUGGAGGAAUACCGGUGGCGAAGGCGGCUUCCUGGACCGACACUGACGCUGAGGCGCGAAAGCUAGGGGAGCAAACGGG